rnacentral:lncRNA from 1 species
GGAGGAGGAGGAGGAGGCGGCGACCGAGAGUGAGGAGGAGGAGGAGGGAUGGAGGCGGCGACCGAGAGUGAGGAGGAGGAGGGAUGGAGGCGGCGGCGACCGUGAGGAAGAGGAGGGAGGCGGCGGCGAGCGUGAGGAGGAGGAGGGAGGCGGCGGCGAGCGUGAGGAGGAGGAGGGAGGCGGCGCGACCGUGAGGAGGAGGAGGGAGGGCGGCG